GGCUUUGAGGCUAAUCUAAUGCUUUUUUCUUUUGGUUGGGUACCUUUUGCAUCAUGAUUUAUUGAUGGUUGUUAUUUAUAUAGCUUCCCGAAAGACGGUGAUCUAGCAUUAAUUUGUUUAGCACGUUAUAAGAAUUGUGCGGGUAGCAUUUUUUAAAAUUUGUGCUAGGUGUGAUAAAUAAUACGUACUGUUUUAUAUCUGGUUUCUGAAGAUAUUUUCUUGUUAGCUUCGCUGCUAGGAUGUGGUGGGGUUUUUAAGAGAUCUUAUAGCUUUAUUUUGGUUUUGGGUUAAAAGUACCCCUUACUAUUGUUUGUGUUACAACAUACUAUUUGGCUUUUUGUUUCUUUAUUUUAAUUUUCGGCUUGUUAACUUUUUAAUAUAGUAUGAUAUAAUUAGUAGUUUUAAUAUUUCAUGUUUUUCUCGUAGCUCGCCGGACUGUUUAUUAAAAACAUUUUUAUUAUUUAAUUCUUAAUAAUCAAGCCUGCCCUAUGUUAUUUUAUAAAUGGCCGCAGUAUAUUGACUGUGCUAAGGUAGCAUAAUUAAUUGCCUUAUAAUUGAAGGAUUGUUUGAAUGGUAUUACCAGGUGAGUUUUAAAGUGUGAAUUAUUAUUAGAAAUUGGUUUAUCGGUGCAGAACCUGAUAAGUUAUAAUAAGACGGAAAGACCCCAAGAGCUUUAUAAAUUAUUUUUUAUUUACUUGGGGCAAGGGCAUAUUUUUUAUAUGCUUUUUGAUCCUUUAGGAUUAUAGGUAUAAGUUACCUUGGGGAUAACUAGGUAAGAGAUGAGGAGAGUUCAUAUCGAUUUAUCUAUUUGCCAUCUCGAUGUUGACUUAGGGUAAAUAUGUUGGCGCAGAAGUUUUCAUAUUAGGUCUGUUCGACCUUUGUUCCCUUCAUGAGUUGAGUUAAGACCGGCGUGAGCCAGGUCGGUUCUUAUCUAUUGGUCUCUUGGCUUAGUACGAAAGGAUUGGUCGGGGUUUAGUUU
rnacentral:rRNA from 1 species